rnacentral:rRNA from 1 species
CGGACGGGUGAGUAACGCGUGGGUAACCUGCCUUGUACAGGGGGAUAACAGUUGGAAACGGCUGCUAAUACCGCAUAAGCGCACGGCAUCGCAUGAUGCAGUGUGAAAAACUCCGGUAGUAUAAGAUGGACCCGCGUUGGAUUAGCUAGUUGGUGAGGUAACGGCCCACCAAGGCGACGAUCCAUAGCCGACCUGAGAGGGUGACCGGCCACAUUGGGACUGAGACACGGCCCAA